AUUGAACGCUGGUGGCAUGCCUUACACAUGCAAGUCGAACGGUAACAGGUUAAGCUGACGAGUGGCGAACGGGUGAGUAAUGUAUCGGAACGUGCCCAGUCGUGGGGGAUAACUGCUCGAAAGAGCAGCUAAUACCGCAUACGACCUGAGGGUGAAAGCGGGGGAUCGCAGGACCUCGCGCGAUUGGAGCGGCCGAUAUCAGAUUAGGUAGUUGGUGAGGUAAAGGCUCACCAAGCCGACGAUCUGUAGCUGGUCUGAGAGGACGACCAGCCACACUGGGACUGAGACACGGCCCAGACUCCUACGGGAGGCAGCAGUGGGGAAUUUUGGACAAUGGGCGCAAGCCUGAUCCAGCCAUGCCGCGUGCGGGAAGAAGGCCUUCGGGUUGUAAACCGCUUUUGUCAGGGAAGAAAAGGUUCUGGCUAAUACCUGGGACUCAUGACGGUACCUGAAGAAUAAGCACCGGCUAACUACGUGCCAGCCGCCGCAGUAAUAC
rnacentral:rRNA from 1 species